CUCCCCUCCGCACUCCAUGCCGGGUCUAUAGUUCCUGCUGGCCUCGGCUCGCUCGCGCGGCGGUAGAGUUGGCGCAAACGUCGCCUCAGCCGCAGUCUCCUCGCCGCUCUUUCCCCAGCGCCCUCCGCUCCCGCCAUGGGGCCAACGCGGGGCUCCUAAGAGUUGCAGUCUCUCAGCGGCGCGCUCUGCAGCCAGUCACCGCGGGCGGACAAUGGCUUAGGGCGCCAGAGGGGUUAGUCUAGACGUACGGGAAGGGGAAAAGACGGCUAACUGGGGAAAAAAAGAGAAAACGAAAGAAAAGCCAAACGAUGAGUUUCCACAAGGAGGACGGAGUCAACAGUCUGUGCAAGAAGGCGCUGCACAUCGUCACCGAGCUGUGCUUCGCGGGCCGAGUGGAGCAGGAGAAGUGCUUGGGCAUCUUCCCCCGGGACCGGGGCAGCCAGGGCGGAGGCAGCACAGAUAUUUCGGUCAGCCUGUUAGCAGUCGUUGUCGGCUUUUGUGGACUGGCCUUGUUGGUUGUCUCGCUUUUUGUCUUCUGGAAGCUGUGUUGGCCGUGCUGGAAAAGCAAGCCUGUGACUUCCAACGUCAGCACCCUUCCACAGAGCAUUUCAAGUGCUCCUACUGAAGGUCUUGAGACUGAAGAGAAAAAAGAAAUUAAGGAAAAUGAAAAGCCAGCCGUGAAAGCAAUUGAGCCUGCAAUAAAAAUCAGCCACACUUCCCCUGACAUACCAGCAGAAGUCCAAACUGCUUUAAAAGAACAUUUAAUUAAACAUGCACGUGUGCAAAGACAAAUUACUGAACCUACAUCAUCAUCCCGCCACAAUUCCUUCCGAAGACACCUGCCGAGGCAAAUGCAGGUUUCCAGUGUUGAUUUUAGCAUGGGCACGGAACCUGUUUUACAAAGAGGAGAGACAACAACCAGCAUCGGGAGGAUAAAGCCAGAACUCUACAAACAGAAAUCAGUUGACUCUGAGGGCAACCAAAAAGAUGUCAAAACCUGUGGGAAACUUAACUUUACCCUCCAGUAUGAUUAUGAAAAUGAACUUCUAGUUGUUAAAAUUAUCAAAGCCUUAGAUCUCCCUGCUAAAGACUUCACGGGAACUUCUGACCCUUAUGUGAAGAUGUAUCUUCUUCCAGAUAGGAAAAAGAAAUUUCAGACCCGUGUGCACAGAAAGACUUUAAAUCCUCUAUUUGAUGAAACUUUUCAGUUUCCUGUAGCAUAUGAUCAACUAAGCAACCGAAAACUACAUUUCAGUGUGUAUGAUUUUGACAGAUUUUCUAGACAUGACAUGAUUGGGGAAGUGAUUCUUGAUAAUUUGUUUGAAGUCUCUGAUCUGUCCCGGGAAGCCACAGUAUGGAAAGAUAUUCAUUGUGCUACCACAGAAAGUAUAGACCUGGGUGAAAUCAUGUUUUCCCUUUGUUACUUGCCGACGGCUGGGCGUAUGACAUUGACAGUGAUUAAGUGCAGAAAUCUGAAGGCAAUGGAUAUUACUGGCUCAUCAGAUCCUUAUGUCAAAGUGUCUCUGAUGUGUGAAGGUCGAAGAUUAAAAAAGAGAAAAACAACUACAAAGAAAAACACUCUAAACCCUGUGUACAAUGAGGCCAUUAUUUUUGACAUCCCUCCAGAGAACGUGGACCAGGUCAGCCUCUCCAUUGCGGUCAUGGAUUAUGACAGGGUAGGACACAAUGAGGUCAUAGGAGUAUGUAGAACAGGACUGGACGCUGAGGGACUUGGGCGAGACCACUGGAAUGAAAUGCUGGCCUAUCAUCGAAAACCAAUAACACAUUGGCACCCCUUGCUGGAGUUACCUGGCCGGGCAACCAGUUUUGAUAGUCAAGGAUCCUGCCCCUCUCCCAAACCACCUUCCACACCAUAAUGCCUCCAAAGUAAGAUACCAUGAUAUUAAGAACCUAGGACCAUGUGCUCAUUGAAUCAAAAAAGAAAAAGUGGAAGGUUUGAUUUCCUCAUUUAAAAUAUAUUCAUAGUAAUGAACAAACUUGACAUGUAAUUUUUUAUUUACUUUUAUUGCCGAUUUUUUAACCUUGAACAUCUUAAUACAUUUUACUUGAAUACAUAUAGUCCUUAGUUGCUUAAGGCAUUUUGUCCUUCAUGUCAAAUGCCUGUUAGCACAAAGAGUGUUGAAUAUGUUGUAAUUCUUUGCAUAAGCAAAGAAAUGUUUAUUUAAACAGUGCAUACUUAUCUAAAAUUAAAUAUGGUUUAUGCUGCUAUUAUAUAAAGUAGCACAUGUCACAUAUGUAUGGAUUUGGUUUUGUUAUAGUGUGUUUUUCCAAUUGUGCACAUGGUUCAAUAUAAACUUCAAAGGACAUUUUGAACUUAACUUACACAACAUUAAAUCCUUGCACAAUCAAAUUAAUAUUACUUAUCUGAUAAUACUUUUCUUUCAGUCUCAUAAAAUUGCUUUCUUGGUGAGAUUUGGCUCUGCUAAACUCAAAACUUUGUCUCUCAAGCUUGUUCUUUAAAACACACAGACAAAACUAUAAAUUUAAAGAAUCGUUUUGAAUAUAAAUUUAAGAAGUAAUACUUACUGGCUGAAAAAUGGAGGUUGGGCCAUUAUGGCUACCAUUUUAUACUGUUUUACUGUUAUGUUAGCUCAAAUAUCUGUUGCACUGUUUAACUGAUAUUUUUUAAAUUCUAAUAAUCUUCAUCUCAAAUGUAGUACAAGUAUUUCUAAGUGUAAAGAAUCAGAAGUUAAUUUUUUAAGUGAUUGUAAGGUUCUCAAGUACUGUGACAUGUAUUUUUUGUGACAUGUAUUUUUUGUGACUUGAAGCUAUGAUAUAGAUCCUGUGUUUAUGAUAGACCAUGCUAACAGACACCAAAAGAACAACAUUCUCUGUGUUCAUCAUCGUUUAGAUUGUACACAGUAGUGGUGACUCUUCACACCCAGUCAGAAGCAAAUCAUUGAAAUUGGGUAUUUUCUGAAAGAAAGGAUAAUUUAUUUCCAGCAAAAUAUAGAAAUAUGCCAUAAAUAUUAAUAAUACAAUGUCAAUACUUAAUAAUAAACAAAUUAAUUCUAAAGGCUAGGACUCCAGUCCUUGCAUGAAAGGCAUUUGCCUUCAUAAGCGUCAAGGCUCAGGCCACUAGAUGUAAAAACUAUGCAAACGUUUUUACAAGACAGACCUUUCUUUUAAAUGAGGCCAACAUAUUUGGUCUCAUUUUCAGGCCCUAUUGGAAGGUAUCUAUACGGAAUUACCCCAACCUUACUUUUGAGAUGUGUGGUAUAGAUAGUGCCUAUUUCAAGAUUAUUUCAAAAUUGGUGUGUUUUAAAAAAAAAAAAGGCAAGAGAACAUACUUACUUGGAUGAGAAAAAUAUUUCAGCAGUUAUGAAAUUUUUAAUUUUGUAAAAUCCCAUUAUCUCUAAAUAUUAAAAAAAAUUAAAGCCUUGAUAUUUUGUUGCCAUCUCUUAUAAUGAUGUCAUUACUAUUAAUUAAGAGGUAAAUAUUUUGCACAUUAACAUUUUAAAGGCAAAAACAGUUCUGCCUUAGAUUUUUCAAAAAUGCUUAUACUACCCUAAGGAAAACAGGUACUCGUAGCUAACAUUUUCUCAUUGAAAAUAAUAAAAGAAAGCUGUUUGAAAACACUUGGCUACCUUGUCAAGCCAAAAAGAAUUAUUUGCUAUAGGUAAAAUGAAAGAUGACACUUGCAUUCUGAAACUCUUUGUUUUAUUGGGAAAUAAAACUUUUCAAAUGGGAAGACAAAAGGUUAUACUAUUAAUAGAAUGACAUUUUUGGAGACAAUUGUUUUAUUAGUAGAUAUAACUGCAGCUUAAAGUAAAUUAGCAAUUACGUUUCCUAAGUGAGUAUAAUAAUUAUUUUCACCCAAAAACAUAUUUCAAGGACUUUUUAUUGAUUCUUAGAAACUCAUGCUUGUCUUUACUUUCUAAGGAGAAAAAGCCAGUGCUUCUGAUGUAAAAAUGUGAACCAUUGACGAAUCAGAAGAUUCUAAUAUGGAAAUUGUAGAUUACAAUGUUUUUUAAAUAAUUUUUAAAUGUUUGCUUGGAGUUAGAAUAAACUCGUCAUACAAGGAUAUGUGUUAAUCCUGAGAAAGAGAUCAAGCAGAGGAAAUUCACCACAGCAGCUCAUCUUUCAUGUAAUUCAGGAGGAAGGUUUAUACACAGAUUGAUAAGGCUUCUACGGUUGGAAGGAAAGAAAGGAAAGACAAUACUUUCACUUUGGCACUUCUACGGCAAAAUUACAACCCCCUCAUAUGUGAUAUAGAAGUUUCAAGGAAAACAUGAAAUUCAAAUCUGAAAGCCAAUUUCAGCAAACCACUCCAAAGAUCAUCUUUAUGUGAAUUAUAUCACACCCAUCAGUAUGCUGCCAUCAGAGACAAAUGUAGCCUCCCCUUCAGAGCCUCUUCUUACAGGUCAGGUAUUCAUUCUGAUUAUUCACCAUCUGUGCUGCUUUCCUUGAUAAAUAGUUUGAAUAUUACCAUUUCAGGAUUUACACAUUCUCUUGCACUCAUGGGCGUACAGGCACACAUCUGCACACAGUUAUUCAUGCACACACACACAAAGGUCACCAUUGAUUUAUUUUCCUCUUCCUUGCUUUAUUCUCUUCCUAUGCUUUUUUUAUAUGCAUUUAUUUGUUUUUUGUUUUGUACACUGUUACAUCCCUUUCUACUAGGACAGGACCUGGCAGCUAGGUGCUACUUAAAUAGUUGAUAAAUAACUCAGUAAACGAAGAUGUUUUAUGUUUCAAUGUCAGUGAGGGUAUGUAUCUCUCUGUGCUCCCCUUGUAUCAUAUGAAAAAACAAGGUAAGAAUCUUUGACUUCUAAGUUGAUUUUAGAAAUUGUGCAAUGUCCUAAGAAAAAUUAUGGCAUUUAUUUUUUGAAAAUAUCUUUAUUUAAUAUGACCCCAGAUUUUUUUACAAAAAAAACUAAGGUUUGGAGAGUCCAAGCAACUUGCCUAUAGCUGGUGUUACUUGUGUUGCACACUCACAAAUAUAUUGUCACCCAAAUCUCUGGGAGAAGAAUUAUCUUCAUUUUAUUUGCUUGUUUGUUUGUUUCAUUUUACUUUCCAUAACUGACUUUAUCUUUCUCAUGAGCACUAACGCUUUGGAAGGCAGGUGGGAAAGUGGAAGGUGAUAGGGCAUAGAUUCAGUUUUUAAAGUUUUAUAGGGAACUCAAUCUCGUUUGGUUAAAUGCUAGUUUUCAGACUUUUUCUUUAAUAUUCUUCUUCUCCUGAUCCCCAGAAUGGCAUCUGGAUGUAUAUAAGAGCUUAAGAAAUCUGUUGUUGAUGGAAGAAGGAAUGGAAGAAGAGAUGUCAGAGAAAUGCUUUCUUUCUAAUAUUUUCCACGUUCUGGGAUAGGUUAGGUUCACUACUGAUGUUUACUUACAUGGGACUGCUCAUCCCAGCAUUCAGAGAAUUUCCAUGUACCUGACACUAAAGUCUGCGGCCCUGGCCCUUUAUCUCUAAUCACGAAGCUCCUGUAUAAUAUGCUGGUUUUUUUCCCUACCUUGAUUCCUCCUGGGUACAUUGAUCUUGGCAUUUCACUGGCCACUGAUCAGAGCCUGAAGGAACUUGUGGACCCGCCUCCCAGUAACCUGCAAGCACCAGUAUUAUGACAUCUUUAGCCAGCCACCUCUAAUCACCAAUGAUGGAAAUGCCAGGAUUUUCUUAGAAGCCUAUAAGUUUUCCAGAUUCUGCAUCAGGAAGAAAGCUACUAGCACCAAAUCUAUUGGGUCUCUUAAAUUCAUGUGGCUGUUUGUACAGCACCACUCCACAAAGAGCCACCAAGUGUGUGUAUUGGGUGGAAGGGGAAGAGUCAGUAGUGUGUGAGGGUUGGGAGGACAUUGGAGUCCAACAGCUCUCUGACUUCUGCCUCUUUCUUUUCUUCCUACUUUCAUUGGGUUGGAUCAGUCUGGCUUUACAGUUUCUGCAAUGUUUGACAAGAAUUCUUCUUACAAUGUAUCUAAUUCACUAUAAUUCCUGGUUUCAUUGGAUACAGAAUUAUUAACAUUUGUUAAUUACAUUUAGUGUGCCAUUUUGCUCUCAAAAGUGUUCUAGUUCAGAUGUUAAAUGACACGGUCAUUUCAUUUUACUUAAAAAAAAAAAUCUGUUUCCAUAUCUCUAAAUUUGCUUUGACAUGUAAAAAAGGCUUAAGGAAAUUUAGAAAUCUAGAAAUCAUUUUCCCCAUGGACAAAACCUGACUUUCAAGAAAAUUAAUCAAUCCUGAGGCUGGACAAAGGAGAGAUCAAUGUGAGCUAGAGUGUAUUAUCUGGGAGUAAUAAUAUCUUAAUGUGCUAAGGCAUUUUAUUUUAAUAGUAGAGAUUUCUUUGAAAUAAAUGUCUUUAGGAUUUCUGGAAUAAAAUUUCUGGGACAGUGAGGUGGGAAAAAAAAAAA